rnacentral:rRNA from 1 species
CAGAGGGUGCAAGCGUUGUUCGGAAUUAUUGGGCGUAAAGCGCGUGUAGGCGGCUUAGCAAGUCGGGCGUGAAAGCCCUCGGCUCAACCGAGGAAGUGCACCCGAAACUGCUGAGCUUGAGUGCCGGAGAGGAUGGCGGAAUACCCCAAGUAGAGGUGAAAUUCGUAGAUAUGGGGUGGAACACCGGUGGCGAAGGCGGCCAUCUGGACGGUAACUGACGCUGAGACGCGAAAGCGUGGGGAGCAAACAGGAUUAGAUACCCUGGUAGUCCACGCCGUAAACGAUGAGAACUAGAUGUCGGCGGGUGUUGACCCCUGCGGUGUCGCAGCUAACGCGUUAAGUUCUCCGCCUGGGAAGUACGGUCGCAAGAUUA